GAAGCAAAGACCGCGAGGUAGAGCAAAUACUCAAAAAAACAAUCUCAGUUCAGACUGCAGGCUGCAACUCGCCUGCACGAAGUCGGAAUUGCUAGUAAUCGUAGGUCAGCAUACUACGGUGAAUACGUUCCCGGGCCUUGUACACACCGCCCGUCAAGCCAUGGGAGCCGGGGGUACCUGAAGUGCGUAACCGCGAGGAUCGCCCUAGGGUAAAACUGGUGACUGGGGCUAAGUCGUAACAAGGUAGC
rnacentral:rRNA from 1 species